rnacentral:rRNA from 1 species
AGCAGUGAGGAAGGCGGAGUCGUUAAUAGCGGCCUCGUUUGUACGUUAGCUGCAGAAGAAGCACCGGCUAACUCCGUGCCAGCAGCCGCGGUAAUACGGAGGGUGCGAGCGUUAAUCGGAAUUACUGGGCGUAAAGCGCAUGCAGGUGGUUUGUUUAAGUCAGAUGUGAAAGCCCGGGGCUCAACCUCGGAAUUGCAUUUGAAACUGGCAGACUAGAGUACUGUAGAGGGGGUAGAAUUUCAGGUGUAGCGGUGAAAUGCGUAGAGAUCUGAAGGAAUACCGGUGGCGAAGGCGGCCCCCUGGACAGAUACUGACACUCAGAUGCGAAAGCGUGGGGAGCAAACAGGAUUAGAUACCCUGGUAG